rnacentral:rRNA from 1 species
GAUGAACGCUGGCGGCGUGCCUAAUACAUGCAAGUCGAGCGAACGGACGAGAAGCUUGCUUCUCUGAUGUUAGCGGCGGACGGGAGAGUAACACGUGGAUAACCUACCUAUCAGACUGGGAUAACUUCGGGAAACCGGAGCUAAUACCGGAUAAUAUUUUGACCCGCAUGGUUCAAAAGUGAAAGACGCUCUUGCUGUCACUUAUAGAUGCAUCCGCGCUGCAUUAGCUAGUUGGUAAGGUAAAGGCUUACCAAGGCAACGAUGCAUAGCCGACCUGAGAGGGUGAUCGGCCACACUGGAACUGAGACACGGUCCAGACUCCUACGGGAGGCAGCAGUAGGGAAUCUUCCGCAAUGGGCGAAAGCCUGACGGAGCAACGCCGCGUGAGUGAUGAAGGUCUUCGGAUCGUAAAGCUCUGUUAUGAGUGAAGAACAUAUGUGUAAGUAACUGUGCAGAUCUUGACGGUACCUAAUCAGAAAGCCACGGCUAACUACGUG